ACCGGUGGAAACGCCGACUAAUCCCCGAUGGGAUAUUGUGCCGCAUGGCACGAUAUUGAAAGUUACGGCGGCGACGGAUUGGCUCGCGUCCGAUUAGCUUGUUGGCGGGGUAACGGCCCACCAAGGCUACGAUCGGUAGGGGUUCUGAGAGGAAGGCCCCCCACAAUGGGACUGAGACACGGCCCAUACUCCUACGGGAGGCAGCAGUGAGGAAUAUUGGUCAAUGGGCGGAAGCCUGAACCAGCCAUGCCGCGUGCGGGAAGGAGGCCCUAUGGGCUGUGAACCGCUUUUGCCUGGGGGCAAUAAGGGCGUCGCGCACGCCCGAUGAGAGUACCAGGCGAAUAAGCAUCGGCUAACUCCGUGCCAGCAGCCGCGGUAAUACGGGGGAUGCGAGCGUUAUCCGGAUUCAUUGGGUUUAAAGGGUGCGUAGGCUGUGCGUCAAGUCGGGGGUGAAAUUCCGGUGCUCAACACCGGGG
rnacentral:rRNA from 1 species